CGCUAGUCGUGUGGCCUAAUGGUCAUGGCGUCUCGCUCACACCGAGAAGGUUCCCGGUUCGAUCCCGGGCACGACUAU
rnacentral:tRNA from 1 species